CGUCUAUAUACGUAUAGCAUAUCAAUAAGCGGAGGAAAAGAAACUAACAAGGAUUCCCUUAGUAACGGCGAGUGAAGCGGGAAGAGCUCAAAUUUGAAAUCUUCAAGGUUUUACCUUGACGAAUUGUAGUUUAAAGAAGUGUUUUCUGUUGAAGUUUUGGUAAAAGUUCUUUGGAAUAGGACAUCAUAGAGGGUGAGAAUCCCGUAUUUGACCAUUAUUUUCAGCUGUGUGAUACACUUUCAAAGAGUCGGAUUGUUUGGGAAUGCAGUCCAAAAUGGGUGGUAAAUUUCAUCUAAAGCUAAAUAUUGGCGAGAGACCGAUAGCGAACAAGUACCGUGAGGGAAAGAUGAAAAGAACUUUGAAAAGAGAGUUAAACAGUACGUGAAAUUGUCAAAAGGGAAGCGUUUGACACCAGUGUUGUUUUUCCGAAAAUCAAUUAAGAGUGGCUUGAUUUUGUGUUGUAUUGACCUUAUCAGCUUUCUUCACUCUUUUUCGAGUCUUUCUUAAUGCACUUUUCGGUUAACAAGUCAACAUCAAUUUCUUUUGUUGUAAAAGGGUAUUUGGAAGGUGGCUUUCUUUUCGGAGAAAGUGUUUAUAGCCUUAUACCUCUACAAUCGGAGAGAUUGAGGUCUGCAGCGUAGAUCCUUCGGGGCUAGAUACACUUGUGCUAAGUUAUAGCUUUUCAUAGACAACUUGUUGACUAUGUUUAGUCAUGUAGCUUACCCGCUUGUGCUAUUUUACCUACGCUUAGGAUGUUGAGUCAUCACACAUCUCU
rnacentral:rRNA from 1 species